CCCUGUCCUGCCAGGGCUGGGUGUUGUUGGUGGAAUUGCUCUGACUCGUUCGCUCAGAGCUUCAACUGAGCUCGACCUCUGUCGUUUCUUCAGCCUUCUCCAGUGGUCUCCGCCCAGGUUUUGUAAGAAACACAAGAAGUAUGGCUUUGACAAACUUCAUACUGACUGUUGCUGGUGUAAGUGCGGUGGUUCUUCUGCUGAGGAGUGAUGUGAAGCAAUCGGCUACCAUCUUCAGGCGCAAUGUCAAACAUAUCCGUAAGUGGCUUGAAGAAGACUCUGCCAAUGCCCCCAAAAUCACCAAGGAACUGGAAUCAAAAGUUUCACCAAAGGAGAUCCCCAAGGAGGACAAGCACUAGUGUCAAUAUGAUGCACAUCCUCGGUUGUUCACAACCGUUGGCUAUCCGUUCCUUUUCUUUAAUAUAAAAUGUGUGAUGGCGUUUCUUUAGGAAUAAGUCUUUGAUCAAUGCCUAGAUUUUCUGUUCAUAUCUUGUUUUCAGUCUUUAGAUUUACAGAUAAUUAGCUAGUAAUUAAUGAGAAAACUGUAGUUUGUUAAUCCCAGGUACCCCUUUUUAUAUCAGCUCUGUAUUUUUGUAACUAGUCA